UCCAUACUUGCCCCAACUGUUCAGGGUUCGACCUCUGUGGUCGUAUAAAGCUGCGCCCUGCGGAGCACCUGGUUAUGUGGUCCCAACAGUUUAGGAAUAAGGGGCACAAAUAAGCAUUUUUCUUGGUUUUCACACAAUAACUUUAGUAUAAGUAAAUAGAAAUCUAUGAAAUUUAAACAUAAGGUUUAUGACCACUAAAGGAAGGUUGGGAAUGAUUUUGCAAGUUUUGGUCCAAACAGUUUAGGAAUUAGGGGCAAAAGGGUCCAAAAUUAAACUUUGUUUGAUUUCAUAAAAAAAUUGAACUGUUGGGUUUUUUAUACGACCGCAAAAUUUGAAAAAUUUUUCGUCAUAUAUUGCUAUCACGUUGGCGUCGUCGUCUGCGUCUGCGUCGUCGUCGUCGUCGUCGUCGUCG
rnacentral:lncRNA from 1 species